rnacentral:tRNA from 2 species
GGAAGGGUGGCCGAGCGGUUGAUGGCAGCGGUCUUGAAAACCGCCAACGGUGAAAGCCGUUCGUGGGUUCGAAUCCCACCCCUUCCGCCA